CGAUAGCAAUUAUUGACCAGAUUUGAAGGCUGAUACCAAUAUUUCAGGCUGACAUUUGCCUGCAGUAAAAUGUGUCAAAAAGGUGUCAAAAUUUAGUAUAACACACUCUUAACACAAAUCUUUCUUCAGAUGCUUAGACUUUUAAG